rnacentral:rRNA from 1 species
GAUAGGCUGGGUGUGUAAGCGCAGCGAUGCGUUGAGCUGACCAGUACUAAUGAACCGAGAGGCUUAACCUUACAACGCCGAAGGUGUUU